rnacentral:rRNA from 1 species
UACGUAGGGGGCAAGCGUUGUCCGGAAUCAUUGGGCGUAAAGAGCGUGUAGGCGGCCCGGUAAGUCCGCUGUGAAAGUCGGGGGCUCAACCCUCGAAUGCCGGUGGAUACUGUCGGGCUAGAGUGCGGAAGAGGCGAGUGGAAUUCCUGGUGUAGCGGUGAAAUGCGCAGAUAUCAGGAGGAACACCAGUGGCGAAGGCGGUGCUCUGGGCCGGAACUGACGCUGAGGAGCGAAAGCGUGGGGAGCAAACAGG